CUACGGUGAAUACGUUCCCGGACCUUGCACACACCGCCCGUCAAGCCAUGGAAGCCGGGUGUACCUAAAGUCGGUAACCGUAAGGAGCCGCCUAGGUAAAACUGGUGACUGGGGCU
rnacentral:rRNA from 1 species